rnacentral:rRNA from 1 species
UACGAAGGGGGCUAGCGUUGCUCGGAAUCACUGGGCGUAAAGGGUGCGUAGGCGGGUCUUUAAGUCGAGGGGAUGAAAUCCUGGAGCUCAACUCCCAGAACUGCCUUUGAUACUGAAGAUCUUGAGUUCGGGAGAGGUGAGUGGAACUGCGAGUGUAGAGGUGAAAUUCGUAGAUAUUCGCAAGAACGACCAGUGGCGAAGGCGGAGCUCG